rnacentral:rRNA from 1 species
AUUGAACGCUGGCGGCAGGCUUAACACAUGCAAGUCGAGAGAGAGGCGGACGGGUGAGUAAUGUCUGGGAAACUGCCUGAUGGAGGGGGAUAACUACUGGACACGGUAGCUAAUACCGCAUACCAUCCUAUAUGACCAGAUGUGCGUAGAUAGUAUGUUGGGUAAUGGCUCACCUAGGCGACGAUCCCUAGCUGGUCUGAGAGGAUGACCAGCCACACUGGAACUGAGACACGGUCCAGACUCCUACGGGAGGCAGCAGUGGGGAAUAUUGCACAAUGGGCGCAAGCCUGAUGCAGCCAUGCCGCGUGUGUGAAGAAGGCCUUCGGGUUGUAAAGCACGUUCAGCGAGGAGGCGUUACUCGCAGAAGAAGCACCGGCUAACUCCGUGCCAGCAGCCGCGGUAAUAC